rnacentral:lncRNA from 1 species
AACCAAUGGACGCGUCGCCGAACGUCACGUUGUUCAUACAGCCCUAUGGGGGGGGGGGGGAGAAUGGGGUCACGUGGUACUAUAACGGGUGUGGGGUCACGUGGUACUAUAAGGGGUAUGGGGUCAUACAGCCCUAUGGGGGUAUGGGGUCACGUGGUACUAUAACGGGUAUGGGGUCAUACAGCCCUAUGGGGGAAUGGGGUCACACAGCCCUAUGGGGGGAAUGGGGUCACGUGGUACUAUAACGGGUAUGGGGUCACACAGCCCUAUGGGGGAAUGGGGUCACACAGCCCUAUAAGAGGUAUGGGGACAGACAGCCCUAUAGGGGUAUGGGGUCAUGUGGUACUAUAACGGGUAUGGGGUCAUACAGCCCUAUGGGGGCAAUGGGGUCACACAGCCCUAUGAGGGCAAUGGGGUCAGACAGCCCUAUGGGGCAAUAGGGUCAGACAGCCCUAUAACGGCUAUGGGUGGUAUGGGGUCACACAGCCCUGUGGGGGUAUGGGGUCAGAUGGCCCUAUGGGGGAAUGGGGUCACGUGGUACUAUAAGGGGUAUGGGGUCACACGCUCGCUAUCUGGCAGUGCCGGGGAAUGGUAUGGAUCCCUAUAGGAUUCUUGCUGGUUCACUUUGUGGCAAUACCUGGAUCUGUAUGGCUCCCUAUGGGGUUUCCAAACGGAUCACUUUGUGGCAAUACCAGGAUGGCUCUGGCUCCCUAAGGGAUUCCCAGUGGCUCCCUUUGUGGCAGUACCUGAAUCUCUCUGGGUCCCUAUGAGGUUCCCAACGGCUCCCUUUGUGGCAGUACCUCAUGUCUGUAUGGCUCCCUAUAUGACUCACCACAGCUCCCUUUGUGGCAGUACCUGGGGUCUAUAUGACUCCCUAUGGGACUCCCCAUAGCUCCCUUUGUGGCAGUACCUGAAUCUCUCUGGCUCCCUAUGGGGCUCCCCACGGCUCCCUUUGUGGCAGUACCAGGAUGGCUCUGGCUCCCUAUGGG